rnacentral:rRNA from 1 species
AUGAGGUCAGCGACAAGAUCGACUCGCCCCAGCCCAGGAUUGCGCACACCAGCGACUUCAAGUUCCUCGACAAGGCGGCCAGUCGGACAUGGAGGAGAGGCCGGAGGAGGCGACCUCAUGGAAACUCUGCGCCGUGACUCAAGUGGAGGAGCUCAAGAUCCUGCUCCGCCUGCUACCCGUCUGGAUCACCAGCAUCAUUGUCUCAUCGGCCUUCUCGCAUAUGAACACCACGUUCGUGCAACAGGGCAGCACCAUGGACAUGACCAUCCUGUCGGUGCCGGUGCCCGCGGCGUCGCUGGCCUCCUUCGAGGUGAUCUGCGUCCUGACAUGGGCUUUCCUCUACAAUCUACAACAAGGUGGUUGUGCCGGCGCUGA